AUUGAACGCUGGCGGCAUGCCUUACACAUGCAAGUCGAACGGUAACAGGUUAAGCUGACGAGUGGCGAAUGGGUGAGUAAUGCAUCGGAACGUGCCCAGUCGUGGGGGAUAACGCAGCGAAAGCUGGGCUAAUACCGCAUACGAUCUGUGGAUGAAAGCGGGGGACCGAAAGGCCUCGCGCGAUUGGAGCGGCCGAUGGCAGAUUAGGUCGUUGGUGGGAUAAAAGCUUACCAAGCCGACGAUCUGUAGCUGGUCUGAGAGGACGACCAGCCACACUGGGACUGAGACACGGCCAAGACUCCUACGGGAGGCAGCAGUGGGGAAUUUUGGACAAUGGGCGCAAGCCUGAUCCAGCCAUGCCGCGUGCAGGAUGAAGGCCUUCGGGUUGUAAACUGCUUUUGUACGGAACGAAAAGACUCUUUCUAAUAAAGAGGGUCCAUGACGGUACCGUAAGAAUAAGCACCGGCUAACUACGUGCCAGCCGCCGCCGUAAAAC
rnacentral:rRNA from 1 species